rnacentral:rRNA from 1 species
GCUAACGCGUUAAGCGAGCCGCCUGGGGAGUACGAGCGCAAGCUUAAAACUCAAAGGAAUUGACGGGGACCCGCACAACCAGUGGAGCAUGCGGUUUAAUUCGAGACGAACCGAAGAACCUUACCUGGGUUUGACAUUCUACCUGCGAGCCAGUGGAAACACAGGAGGCCUUAGAGGGUGGUAGAACAGGUGGUGCAUGGCUGUCGUCAGCUCGUGCCGUGGGGUGUUCCCUUCAGUGGGGUAACGAGCGCAACCCCUGCCGUAUGUUAAAUAUUCAUACGGGACUGAUCGCCUGAGUGCGAUAGGAAGUGGGGACGACGUCAAGUCAGCAUGUCCCUUAUAUCCAGGGCUACACACAUGCUACAAUGGAGCCGACGAAGGGUUGCCAAGCAGUAAUGCGGAGCUAAUCCCAUAAACGGCUUCUCAGUUGGGAUUGAGGGCUGCAAUUCGCCCUCAUGAACGUGGAAUUGGUAGUAAUCGCGGAUCAGCCAAGCCGCGGUGAAUACGUUCUCGGGUCUUGUACACACCGCCCGUCAAGUUAGUGAAGUUGGGGCACCCGAACCUC